UACGUAGGUGGCGAGCGUUGUCCGGAUUUACUGGGCGUAAAGGGAGCGUAGGCGGACUUUUAAGUGAGAUGUGAAAUACUCGGGCUCAACUUGAGUGCUGCAUUUCAAACUGGAAGUCUAGAGUGCAGGAGAGGAGAAUGGAAUUCCUAGUGUAGCGGUGAAGUGCGUAGAGAUUAGGAAGAACACCAGUGGCGAAGGCGAUUCUCUGGACUGUAACUGACGCUGAGGCUCGAAAGCGUGGGGAGCAAACAGG
rnacentral:rRNA from 1 species